rnacentral:rRNA from 1 species
UGAGUAACCUGCCCUUAACUCUGGGAUAAGCCUGGGAAACUGGGUCUAAUACCGGAUAUGACUCCUCAUCGCAUGGUGGGGGGUGGAAAGCUUUUUGUGGUUUUGGAUGGACUCGCGGCCUAUCAGCUUGUUGGUGAGGUAAUGGCUUACCAAGGCGACGACGGGUAGCCGGCCUGAGAGGGUGACCGGCCACACUGGGACUGAGACACGGCCCAGACUCUUACGGGAGGCAG